UACGAAGGGGGCUAGCGUUACUCGGAUUGACUGGGCGUAAAGGGCGCGUAGGCGGUUCGUACAGUCAGACGUGAAAUUCCUGGGCUCAACCUGGGGGCUGCGUUUGAUACGUGCGGGCUUGAGUUCGGAAGAGGGUCGUGGAAUUCCCAGUGUAGAGGUGAAAUUCGUAGAUAUCAGGAGGAACACCAAUGGCGAAGGCAGCUCGCUGGAACGGUACUGACGCUGAGGCGCGAAAGCGUGGGGAGCAAACAGG
rnacentral:rRNA from 1 species